rnacentral:rRNA from 1 species
AUGCUUGUCUCAAAGAUUAAGCCAUGCAUGUCUAAGUAUAAGCAACUAUACUGUGAAACUGCGAAUGGCUCAUUAAAUCAGUUAUCGUUUAUUUGAUAGUACCUUUACCUGGAUAACCGUGGUAAUUCUAGAGCUAAUACAUGCUAAAAACCUCGACUUCGGAAGGGGUGUAUUUAUUAGAUAAAAAACCAAUGCCCUUCGGGGCUCCUUGGUGAAUCAUAAUAACUUAACGAAUCGCAUGGCCUUGCGCCGGCGAUGGUUCAUUCAAAUUUCUGCCCUAUCAACUUUCGAUGGUAAGAUAGAGGCUUACCAUGGUCUUAACGGGUAACGGGGAAUUAGGGUUCUAUUCCGGAGAGGGAGCCUGAGAAACGGCUACCACAUCCAAGGAAGGCAGCAGGCGCGCAAAUUACCCAAUCCCGACACGGGGAGGUAGUGACAAUAAAUACUGAUACGGGGCUCUUUUGGGUCUCGUAAUUGGAAUGAGUACAAUCUAAAUCCCUUAACGAGGAACAAUUGGAGGGCAAGUCUGGUGCCAGCAGCCGCGGUAAUUCCAGCUCCAAUAGCGUAUAUUAAAGUUGUUGCCGUUAAAAAGCUCGUAGUUGAACCUUGGGCCUGGCUGACCUGUCCUCCUAAUCGAGCGCACGGGUUCGGUCGGGCCUUUCCUUCUAGGGAACCCCAU